rnacentral:rRNA from 1 species
GUGGGGAAUAUUGGACAAUGGGCGAAAGCCUGAUCCAGCCAUGCCGCGUGUGUGAAGAAGGUCUUCGGAUUGUAAAGCACUUUAAGUUGGGAGGAAGGGCAUUAACCUAAUACGUUAGUGUUUUGACGUUACCGACAGAAUAAGCACCGACUAACUUCGUGCCAGCAGCCGCGGUAAUACGAAGGGUGCAAGCGUUAAUCGGAAUUACUGGGCGUAAAGCGCGCGUAGGUGGUUCGUUAAGUUGGAUGUGAAAGCCCCGGGCUCAACCUGGGAACUGCCUCCAAAACUGCAUGACUAGAGUACGGUAGAGGGUAGUGGAAUUUCCUGUGUAGCGGUGAAAUGCGUAGAUAUAGGAAGGAACACCAGUGGCGAAGGCGACUACCUGGACUGAUACUGACACUGAGGUGCGAAAGCGUGGGGAGCAAACAGGAUUAGAAACCCGAGUAGUCC